UUUUUAGGGCCACACCGACAGCAGGCUAGGGGUUGAAUCUGAGCUAUAGCUGCUAGCCUAUGACACAGCCACAGCAAUGUAGGAUCCUAGCAGUGUCUGCAACCUACACCAAAGCUCAUGGAAACACCAGAUCCAUGAGUAAGUCCAGGGAUGGAACACACAUCCUCAUGGAUUCUAGUCAGGUUUGUUACCACUGAGCCACAAGAGGGACUCCUCACAGUCACUUUAAACCACAAAUAAUAAUCUCAUGAUAGAAAUUGAAAAUGAACUGGGAGUUUCCUUGUGGCACAGUGGGUUAAGAAUCUAGCAUUGUCAUUGCAGUGGCUCACAUUAUUGCUGUGGCACAGGUUCAACCCCUGGCCUGGGAACUUCCACAUGCCACGGAUGCAGGUGGGAGGGGGAUGAUCUGUGACAAACUAUCAAAGCAUGGAUAAUCCUUAUCCACCUCCCCCCAGUGCUGAGGUAGAUGCAGCAGAAGGUCCUUUUCUCUUUCUGACUUCAUCUUCUCCUGCGUUUGCUAGCAACUAAUACUGACUGUGCCAAUGGCCAGGGUGGAAAAGAGCUGAGGCAAGCAGAAUAAGUUCACCCAAUUGUCAAGGUCCAAAAUUAGCCUAGGGUUCCCUGGUCUCCUAGGAUGUUUUCAGUUGACUUCUCACUGCCCCUGAUGGAACCUCAGGAACAUGCUUGCAGGGCCGCACUGAUAACCCCUUUCUCCUUCUAUAGGCAGCUCCUGCUGGCCACGCCCCCUCUCCUUGCAGUUUCUGCCUGAGGAGGGACCUAACACCCCACACUCUGUGGCUGUGGGGCUUGUCUUGCCCAGUAAAGAAAGCCUUUUUCAUAAUUCCUGCUUAUUUCUGUCUUCUGGGGCAAUAUCAUCCUUUCGACAUGAAAAACAAACAGCAAAUUCACCACGAAAGCACAAUUUGAAUGAAGAAUAGAUAAAAGCCAAGAAUAAGUGGGAAAAGGUAACAGGGGAAUGUAGAGGUGAACUAUUACAAAAGGAUGCUAGAGCAUGCCCUAGCUUCCUUCCUCUGGAGAACAUUCUCUUCCUAAGCGGCAGGGGACCACCUUUCCUUUUGACCUGGCUGUAACUCUUGACAUUGGGUGGGUGGGUGGGGGGAGCUGUAGGUAAAGGAAGGGGGAGUGGGGGAGGGCCUUUUUGAAGGUGAAGAGACUGAGGGAGGUAGCUUUCUUCCCCUUCCUGGGCCAAGGGGAGAAAGGCAUCCAACAUGGGAGGGGAUUGGAGAAAAGAGGGAAGGUUCCCACUUGACAGAGAGGGACCAGCCCCUCCAAAGGGAGACGGGAGCUCAGAACACACCUUGAAACAGAAGCUAGAAAUGGAGGUAAUACUGUGAACACCUCCUUCUGAUGCUAAGUUGGGGAAUGAGAGGGGAAGGGCAGGGAAUAAACUAGAGCAAUGAGGGAAAGAACUCUGAUCCUGGAUUCCGGGAAGGCAAUAACCCAUCUCUUCCUCCUAGUGACUUUUCGCUCCUAAUCGGCUGCUCUGGGUGGGAAGCCUUGGAUGAGACCAAGCUCUCUGGAAAAUUAUCUUGAAACUAAAAAGGUAAAUACUAAAUGGCAAGGUGAGAAAGACAGGCACCAGAAGGAAAUACGGAGUUCCCAAGAUCAAGACCCUUUUUGAUACAACUACAACCCUCUGUUCUUUCAUGGAGUCCCGUGACUGAUCUCUAGGUGCUGGACAUAUUUGAUCCAUAGAUGGACAGUUCUAAAGCUAGUUGCUGUGUAGCCUUCAGCUGAAGUAGGUCAGCCUUUUCAUGUCUAGUUGUUCCCAAACUAGGACACAUAGCAAGUUCUCCCAGGGUUGCACGAAAGCCCCCUCACGAGCAUAGGGGCAGGAGUUUCCCUACCCCUUCCAUAUCAGGAUGAAGGUGGGUGAUUCCGACCAAUUCUGUCUCCACAUUCCUUGUGGGUCAGUUGUCUAGUUGACCCUCACUAGUGCCAUUCAUUGAUCCAUCUCCCACCUUACCCAAAGUUGAGUCACAUUGUCUAAGGACUGACUUCAUACCACCUAGUUCUACACUGUGUCUUGGCUCUGAUAAACCUCCUUCAUAUGGGUGGGGGCAGAUCAGCUUUAAUCCAGUCUGUCUCACUCCUCCUAACACACAGAACAGUUAGAGCUUCAUCAGACUCAGUAAUUCCUCGUAUUCUAGAUCUAACUGAAAUGACUCCUGUUCCCUUAUCUUGGUGGCCGAGUUAAUCCAUGGCUUUCCCUUUCCAAGGCAGACGUCUCACUAACAAGGCAGGGUGGGCAUCAGAUCUGCACAGCCAAGAGUCUGAAUUUAUUGCUUUUUCUCAUUUUCUCCAGAGAGAAGUUAGCUCAGUACCCAUUGUAACAGAGGCAGCCCUGGAGGCCCCCGAAAUUGCUUAGAACCUUCACCUCUCUGCCGGCACUGAACUUGCCUUUUAGAAGGAUUUUUUUAGCAAUUGUAUGAGUGUUCAUGGAGUUCUUUGCUGACAACUUUUCUGAAAAAUCUCACCUGUGUCCUCCUAGACAUUGUCCAUUGUGGAUUAAUGCCUUGCCAAGUUAGAGGGCCCAAGUUUCCUCUAAUUAGAUUAGUGUCAGGUAUUUUUUUUCAAGCUACUGUUAUGUUGCUGAGGGAAGGAAAGGUACCAGAAGGAAAUGGAGCAUUAGUGUCGUGUGAUUGGGCACCUGGCCCUCUGCUGAUACCUUCUAAUGUGCACAUUCACUAAACAUCUGUGCUUUAUGAGAGAACAUAAAAACCCCAACUCAUAUCAUCAUCCACAUGGGUCCAAUGGGUCUAUACUUAAUAACUAUUUUAUAUUAUUCUAACACUCUGUCAUAUAAUAAUCCUCUAUUUAAGUUUUGAGUUUCCUCCUUGGGAAAUGUCUGAUGGAACAGAGGAAGAAUUUGCUUAAAAUAAACCAUUUUUUGGUUUAUUUUUUUCUUCUGACAAUGCCAGUGUGCCUUAAUACUCUCAGCCUCAAUCUCCUCAUUUGUGAAAUGGGGAUAAUUUCGUUGCAUCACAGAACUCGGAAUGUUGAAGUCACACAAAAAUAUUAAAGUCCCUUAAAGGGACUCAAAAAAUAUUUAUUCCAUGUAUGGUAGAUAAAAUUAUGGGCCAUUUUGGAAAGCUCCUGACAGGUGCUCUGGCGCUGGGGUGCUUGGUCACUCUGGGGCAGUGGGUUGUUAUCACUACUUCCAUCCAAGCUUCUAGAAGGGCAUGACUUGUCAAGGUCACACAGCAAAAUUGGGAUAGAUGAGAUCACUACCCUACUUUUUGACCACUCAGUACUCCUUCCAUCAUAUUUUGCCACCAUUUGCUAAACAUCAUAGUUUUAAAACAUCAGUACUGGAGUUCCUGCUAUGGUGCAAUAGGUUAAGUAUCCUGCAUUGUCUCUGCAGUGGUGAGGAUUCAAUCCCCAGCCUGGCACACUGGGUUAAGGAUCUGGCAUUGCCACAGCUGUGGCGAAGUUUGAAGUUGUGGCUUGGAUUCUAUCCCUGGCCCAGGAACUUCCAUGUGCCACAGAUGUGAUCAUAAAAAAAAAAUCAAUACUUUGUACUUUAUCCUAUUAAUUAAUAAAGUGUCCCGUGGAAGAUGUUCCAAAUAACUUAAUACAUUUUAAACAUAUAUAUUUUGUGUAUGAAUUGCUGAAGAGAAAAAAAAAACAUGAUCAUCUUAAAGUUCUGUAUUUGUUGUCAAUGCAAAUAGUACUAGAGUAUAUAUACAUAUAUGAAUAUUCAUUUAUAUAUUUAUACAUACUCAUUUUCACGUCUAAUCAUUUACAGAAUUUUUCAGAGCAGCUAAGCUAAUUCUCCCCUUAAUAAGGCACAAAAGCUUCAAAUUUAGAAAUGAUGUCCUUCUUCUUACUAUGAGAGCUUGAUUGUUCUAAAUGAUGAUUAGACAAAUAUGUUUCUCAGAGGAGUCGUGCAGAAGGUGGGUUUUACUGACAGAAAAUAAUGAUUUAUUUCUCAUCCACUGGGAGAUCUCACAUGCAAAAGUCAAAAGGAAGAAUAAAAUGCCCAUAAGGUGAUUGGUACAAUGAUAAUGCCAUUUUCAAUAUGUUUCAGGCCAAGAAAUUAUAGCAGUCCUCAAUGAAAAGAGGAAAAUAUUAUAAAGAUAAGAUACUUAUGUCUAAAUGAAAUGAUUCAUUGAGAAUUUUUGGAAUAUUUUAUCUGGACAUGUUUUCUGGGUUUUGAUAAACAUAUUCUGUUUUAAUGAAGUAAGAGUAACCUCUUACCUUUGUAAAUCAUUGACUAAAGUAGCCAGGAAUGUUUUUCUAUAUAUGGUCUCAUUUGUUUAAUCCUUAACAAAGGUAAACUGAAAUAGGUAAGUUUAAUGAUACUCUCUUUAAAGAUGGUGCAGGUGGAAGGCUGCAAAGAAAAUGGUGGAAUAGAAGGACUGGAGCUCAAAUUCUCUCCUAAAAAAAACAAAAUUCACAACUAAAGGCUGAGCAAUCUUCACCAAAAUGGACCGGAAACCUUCAAAAAGAUAUCCUACUUCAGAGGACAAAGAGGAGGCCACAUCAAGAGGGAGGAGGGGUGAUUACAUGAUAUAAGCAACCCCAUACCUCCUGGGUGGGAAGACCCACAGACUGGAAACUAACUGGUUCACAGAGACUCACCUACAGGAGUGAGAGUUCUGAGCCCCAAACCAAACUCUCAUGUGUGGGGAUCUGACACUGGGAGAAAGAGUCCCUGGAGAAUCUGGCAUUGACAGCCAGUGGGGCUUGUGUGCAGGAGCUCCAUGGGACUAGGGGAAACGGAGACCCCAUUCUUAAAAGACUUUCACAUGCACUGGGUCCCAGGGCAAUGAAAAGUCUCCAUAGGAAUCUGGGUCAAACCUGACUGCAGUGCUUGGAGGACAUCCUGGGAAAGCAGGGGUAAAUGGGCCUUGUGAGGGAAGGACAUUGAAAGUAAAGCUCUUGGGAAUAUUCAGAAGCAUGCCUUUCUCUGGAGGUAGCCAUUUUUGGGAAAAUAUGGCUCCACCCAUCAGUCAGCACUGAGAAGCCCCAGGGCUAACAACAAUCCAGGUGGGAUCACAGCCCUGCCCCUCAGUAAACAGGCUACCUAAAGACCCCACAGGCCUCUAAUCCCAUCCAGAGACUAAGCUCCACCCACCAGAGGAUUAAAAUCAGCUCCACCUACCAGUGAGCAGGCAUCAGCCCCUCCCAUCAGGAAGCCUUCAGCAAGCCCCCAUACAGAUUUGAGCCACAAGGGGGCAGACACCAGAAGUAAGAGGGGCUACAACUCUAUUAUCUGUAAAAAGGUCACCACACCAAAAACCUAUACAAAUGAAAAGACAGGGAACUAUAACUCAGAUGAGGGAGGAAGAAAACACCCAGAAAAUCAGCUAAGUGAUGAGGAGAUUCUCAGCCUCCAGGAAAAAGACUUUAUAGACUGUUGAUGCUGAAGAUCGAUGCAAGACAUUGGACAUAAACUAGAGGCAAAGAUGGA
rnacentral:lncRNA from 1 species